GGAAAUGAACAAAAAAGGAAAAAAAAAAAAAAAGACAGGAUAUUCAAAACUGAAAAUUAUAGGCCAGUCUCACUUAUAAAUAUGGGAGAUUUCUAAAUCAAUAUUUGUGAACAAAAUCCAGCAGAAUAUUAAACAUGUACCAUCACAUCUGUUUCAGAUAUUCAAGAAUGGGAAUUUAGGGAAAUAUUUGUAUGGACUGAGUGCAAGGAUGAACCUUUUCAUUGACAAACUUAAAUGCUAUAAAGAAAACAUCAUCAAUCUCCUAACACAGCCUGGAAAAAGUACAGAGCAAUAAACAUCAAGAGAAAAUGCCUGCAGCUGACAUCAAAGUCUUGCUAAUCCUAAGACAAAGUUGAUGAGACUGAAGGGAGAAGGGCUGGAAAAAGGUGUCCAUAAAGCAGAGCCUACCAAUGCAUAGAGCUGGGAGUUGGAAACAGGCAAUUUUAUAGGCUGGAAAGAAAAACUGCUGCUGGCUCUUCCUCAAGCCUUUCUCUUAAGGAGUCUGCUCCUGGUCCUGUGUAACCAGCUGCAUCUUCCCAGCCACUUUCUCUUGGAGUUAUCUUAAAUUCCAGCCAGCUCUGCCCAGAAAAUUUGCACCUCAUCAUGACGGAAAACUUCUCAUGUCCUAUUUCUGGUCAAGAGGAUUUAUUUACAACCCUCUUGCCAUCUGAGCUGAUCUUCAAGAUGCAUCUGGUUCCCACUUCUGGACUCUUUCAUUGCUCUAGUGUAGAAGGUGGCAGCUGCCAACGCCCUUUUGUAUUUAAGUUAAAAUUAAAUUAAACUAAAAUUCGGGGUGGCACGACUGAAAUGCUGGACGGCCCCACGCGGCUUGUGGCUCCUGCAGUGGACCAGGAAGAGAACCCCUCUGCGAAUGCAGUGUUCUUUCCACCGCAGGGCCGGUAGAGGGCGCUUCUGCCUCUUCCGUUGGGUGGACCCAUUGCCUUUCUGAUACCCACACUGCUGAGUCCUUGAGAGCUAGGUUAGUACUUUGUACCUGGCACAUACGCAAAUCACUGAAUAGUCUGUGAUCUGUUUCCAUCCUGCAAAUAAGUUCAUUCGUACCUUUUUUUAAAGCCUCUCUACAUAAGUGAUAUCACAUGACGUCUGUCUCUCACUGUCUGACUUACUUCACUUAGUGUGGUAAUUUCUAGGUCCACCCAUGUCACUGCAAAUGCCAUUAUUUCAUUCUUUUUGAUGGCUGAGUAAUAUUCCACUGUAUAUAUGUACCACAUCUACUUUAUCCAUUCCUUUGUCUAUGGACACUUGAAAAACUUAUGGUUAUCAAAGGGGACAGGGGGAAGGAGGCAGGGAGGGAUGGACUGGGGGUUUGGGGUGGAAAUGUCCUAAGAUUCUGUUGCGAUGAUGGUUAUACAACUAUAAAUAUAAUAAAAUUCAAAAAGUUAAAAUAAGAAUAAAUAAAAGUAAAAGAAUAAAUCACUGAAUAAAUGCACACUUGAAUUGAAUGAAUGAAUCAGUGAUCAUUGCUGCUAUUGCCAAAACUUGGCCUCUGCCCACAGGUGCUGAAUAGAAACCAGGAGACAAAGUUUUGGGUAAAGGAGGAAAAAAAGAGCUUUAUUGUUUUGCCAGACAGAGGAGGCCACAGCAGGCUAAUGCGCUAAAGACUGUGCCCUACCUUGGGAGAGAACAGGAAGUGGUUUUAUAGUUUGGGAGUGGAAAAUAGGGCUGCAGGUAAGAAUCAGGCUAGAAGCAAGCUUGCAUUCCUCAAAGCUGAUGUUUAGUGGCCCCAGGACUGGUUCUGGGGGUCCUCCUCUCUAGUUUUCCCUUGUUGUGGGUUUCGGUUCUGAAGAGGGGCUCAAAAA
rnacentral:lncRNA from 9 species